rnacentral:rRNA from 1 species
ACUUUAAUUGAAGAGUUUGAUCAUGGCUCAGAUUGAACGCUGGCGGCAGGCCUAACACAUGCAAGUCGAGCGGCAGCACAGAGGAACUUGUUCCUUGGGUGGCGAGCGGCGGACGGGUGAGUAAUGCCUAGGAAAUU